rfam:Woeseia oceani strain XK5, complete genome.
GCGCCCGUAGCUCAGCUGGAUAGAGUACCUGGCUACGAACCAGGCGGUCGGAGGUUCGAAUCCUUCCGGGCGCG